rnacentral:rRNA from 1 species
GACAGAGGGUGCAAACGUUGCUCGGAAUUACUGGGCGUAAAGCGCGUGUAGGCUGACCGGAAAGUCGGGCGUGAAAUCCCUGGGCCCAACCCAGGAACUGCACUCGAAACUCCCGGUCUUGAGUGGUGGAGAGGGAAGUGGAAUUCCUGGUGUAGAGGUGAAAUUCGUAGAUAUCAGGAGGAACACCAGUGGCGAAGGCGGCUUCCUGGACACCAACUGACGCUGAGACGCGAAAGCGUGGGGAGCAAACAGG